rnacentral:rRNA from 1 species
AAGAGAGGUUUUGAGAUAUCAUGACUCAGGAUGAUCGCUGCGCCGUGCUACACAUGCAAGUCGAAACGAUGAUCCCAGCUUGCUGGGGGAUUAGUGGCGAACGGGUGAGUAACACGUGAGUAACCUGCCCUUGACUCUGGGAUAAGCCUGGGAAACUGGGUCUAAUACCGGAUACGACCAUCUGGCGCAUGUCAUGGUGGUGGAAAGCUUUUGUGGUUUUGGAUGGACUCGCGGCCUAUCAGCUUGUUGGUGGGGUAAUGGCCUACCAAGGCGACGACGGGUAGCCGGCCUGAGAGGGUGACCGGCCACACUGGGACUGAGACACGGCCCAGACUCCUACGGGAGGCAGCAGUGGGGAAUAUUGCACAAUGGGCGCAAGCCUGAUGCAGCGACGCCGCGUGAGGGAUGACGGCCUUCGGGUUGUAAACCUCUUUCAGUAGGGAAGAAGCGAAAGUGACGGUACCUGCAGAAGAAGCGCCGGCUAACUACGUGCCAGCAGCCGCGGUAAUACGUAGGGCGCAAGCGUUAUCCGGAAUUAUUGGGCGUAAAGAGCUCGUAGGCGGUUUGUCGCGUCUGCUGUGAAAGACCGGGGCUCAACUCCGGUUCUGCAGUGGGUACGGGCAGACUAGAGUGCAGUAGGGGAGACUGGAAUUCCUGGUGUAGCGGUGAAAUGCGCAGAUAUCAGGAGGAACACCGAUGGCGAAGGCAGGUCUCUGGGCUGUAACUGACGCUGAGGAGCGAAAGCAUGGGGAGCGAACAGGAUUAGAUACCCUGGUAGUCCAUGCCGUAAACGUUGGGCACUAGGUGUGGGGGACAUUCCACGUUUUCCGCGCCGUAGCUAACGCAUUAAGUGCCCCGCCUGGGGAGUACGGCCGCAAGGCUAAAACUCAAAGGAAUUGACGGGGGCCCGCACAAGCGGCGGAGCAUGCGGAUUAAUUCGAUGCAACGCGAAGAACCUUACCAAGGCUUGACAUGAACCGGAAAGACCUGGAAACAGGUGCCCCGCUUGCGGUCGGUUUACAGGUGGUGCAUGG